GGGGGGGCAAAUGCCCUCCCCCCCCCAGCUUGUAUGUUAAAAAAGGCCCUGUCUGGUCUUGUGCUUAUCUAUAUAUACUAAUUCUGCACUGUGAUGGGCAGGUAUAUAAAUUUCACACGUACCAUAUUUAAUAAACGUUUUAAAAUAUAUGAACAUGUAAACAACCACAAUUUUUAGUAUAAAUUAAAAACUGGCAAUAAAACCACAAAGGCCAGUGCUGACACAAAACAACAUAAUUUCAUGUACACAAUGUUUGGUCGUUAACAAUACUUUUAU
rnacentral:lncRNA from 1 species